rnacentral:lncRNA from 1 species
AUGAGCCUUGGACAACAGUUAUGACUGCUUCCUUCAUAUAUAACUGAUUCAUAAACAACCUUACUUUUGGUGUCUAAGGGCUUCAUUUCUUUCCAUAAUCAAAAAAAUGUCCUACUCACUUUGAUAACAGCUAGGGGGUGGAUGUGGCUGAUGGAAUGCAGGGUUAAUUAUAUCCAAUUUUAUGGCUUCAGUAGAAUUACGGAAGGCUAACAUCCAUUAGUUAAGUCCCCCAGUGAAUAACCAUUAUGCUAAGCCCAAAUUUAGCAAAUGAUUCCUUAAUUUUAUGAACUAUGAGUGGUUAACCCUCAACUAAGGGACAAUUAACUUGAUCCGUCCACACUUAGGCAGCUAUAAGACCACAAACCAAUACAAGUAGAGUUCUGACAACAGUUUGAAUGCUAGGAAGUUUUAACUUUGCUGACUGUUUAUACAUAUAUCAA